CCUACGGGAGGCAGCAGUGAGGAAUAUUGGUCAAUGGACGAGAGUCUGAACCAGCCAAGUAGCGUGAAGGAUGACUGCCCUAUGGGUUGUAAACUUCUUUUAUAAAGGAAUAAAACGAGGCACGUGUGCCUUUUUGCAUGUACUUUAUGAAUAAGGAUCGGCUAACUCCGUGCCAGCAGCCGCGGUAAUACGGAGGAUCCGAGCGUUAUCCGGAUUUAUUGGGUUUAAAGGGAGCGUAGAUGGGUUGUUAAGUCAGUUGUGAAAGUUUGCGGCUCAACCGUAAAAUUGCAAUUGAUACUGACAGUCGUGAGUACAGUUGAGGUAGGCGGAAUUCGUGGUGUAGCGGUGAAAUGCUUAGAUAUCACGAAGAACCCCGAUUGCGAAGGCAGCUUACUAAACUGUGACUGACAUUGAUGCUCGAAAGUGUGGGUAUCAAACAGGAUUAGAUACCCUGGUAGUC
rnacentral:rRNA from 1 species